GACGAACGCUGGCGGCGUGCUUAACACAUGCAAGUCGAACGGAAAGGCCCUGCUUUUGUGGGGUGCUCGAGUGGCGAACGGGUGAGUAACACGUGAGUAACCUGCCCUUGACUUUGGGAUAACUUCAGGAAACUGGGGCUAAUACCGGAUAGGAGCUGCUGUUGCAUGGUGGGGGUUGGAAAGUUUCGGCGGGCGGGGAUGGACGGGCGGCUUAUCAGCUAGUUGGUUGGGUAGUGGCAUACCAAGGCUUUGACGGGUAGCCGACCGGUGAGCGUGACCGGCCACAUUGGUACUGAGAGACGGCCCAGACUGCAACGGGAGGCAGCGGUGGGGAAUAUUGCACAAUGGGCGGGAGCCUGAUGCAGCAACGCCGCGUGCGGGAUGACGGCCUUCGGGUUGUGAACCGCUUUCGCCUGUGACGAAGCGUGAGUGACGGUAAUGGGUAAAGAAGCACCGGCUAACUACGUG
rnacentral:rRNA from 1 species